UCAAGUUUACACAAAAUAAACCGUAUUAAAAUGAAGCAUAGUAUAAGAUUUACAACUAUAGUCAAAGUUCUAUUUGUUUUUAAAGUAUUCAAUACAAUAAAAUUCCAUUUCAGUUCAACAAAAACAGUAUAUAAAGCU